rnacentral:lncRNA from 1 species
CCCGCCCGCCGUGCCAGAGCUCCCGCUCCGCCGGCCGGAGCCGCCGCCAGCGCGGGGUCCCGCUGAGGGUCCCGCUGCCGCCCGGGCCCGGUGGAUGCCGCCCGCUGCUGUUCCGGCUCCCUGCUCCGGCUGCCUCUUUCGGCUCCUCUGUGCUUUUCCCGCUGCAAAUCGUCCGGGUGCUUCACCGCCGCGCGGUACUGGCGGGGACCCCCCGACGCCUUCCCGCAGCCGGCUCCAUCCCGAGCACCGGGAAGCGCACGGGAGGUCCCGGCCGGACGAGGAUGCGGCACCUCGGGGUGAGCCUUUGGAUGGGGGAAAAAGGGAGGGUGACCCCCAAAACCUCGCCUGUCAGUUGAAGUUGUCCCUUUCUAAGCCAGUCCUGGUCUUCCAGCGUUUCUUUGGAGCAUUUGAUUUUAAUUAUCCGCGGAAUUCAGCCUUCUAA